UGUUGAAUCACAAGUUCUCAUCCAAUCACCAAAGUUAAGCAACAUCAAGCCUGGUCAGUACCUAGAUUAGUGACUGCUUGGGAAUACUAGGUGCUGU